rnacentral:rRNA from 1 species
UGAGGAAUAUUGGUCAAUGGACGAGAGUCUGAACCAGCCAAGUAGCGUGAAGGAUGACUGCCCUAUGGGUUGUAAACUUCUUUUAUAUGGGAAUAAAGUAUUCCACGUGGGGGAUUUUGUAUGUACCAUAUGAAUAAGGAUCGGCUAACUCCGUGCCAGCAGCCGCGGUGAUACGGAGGAUCCGAGCGUUAUCCGGAUUUAUUGGGUUUAAAGGGAGCGUAGGUGGAUUGUUAAGUCAGUUGUGAAAGUUUGCGGCUCAACCGUAAAAUUGCAGUUGAAACUGGCAGUCUUGAGUACAGUAGAGGUGGGCGGAAUUCGUGGUGUAGCGGUGAAAUGCUUAGAUAUCACGAAGAACUCCGAUUGCGAAGGCAGCUCACUAGACUGCAACUGACACUGAUGCUCGAAAGUGUGGGUAUCAAACAGG